rnacentral:rRNA from 2 species
ACACAUGCAGUCGACGAUGAACCACUUCGGUGGGGAUUAGUGGCGAACGGGUGAGUAACACGUGGGCAAUCUGCCCUUCACUCUGGGACAAGCCCUGGAAACGGGGUCUAAUACCGGAUAUCACUUCCACUCGCAUGGGUGGAGGUCGAAAGCUCCGGCGGUGAAGGAUGAGCCCGCGGCCUAUCAGCUUGUUGGUGAGGUAAUGGCUCACCAAGGCGACGACGGGUAGCCGGCCUGAGAGGGCGACCGGCCACACUGGGACUGAGACACGGCCCAGACUCCUACGGGAGGCAGCAGUGGGGAAUAUUGCACAAUGGGCGAAAGCCUGAUGCAGCGACGCCGCGUGAGGGAUGACGGCCUUCGGGUUGUAAACCUCUUUCAGCAGGGAAGAAGCGAAAGUGACGGUACCUGCAGAAGAAGCGCCGGCUAACUACGUGCCAGCAGCCGCGGUAAUACGUAGGGCGCAAGCGUUGUCCGGAAUUAUUGGGCGUAAAGAGCUCGUAGGCGGUCUGUCACGUCGGAUGUGAAAGCCCGGGGCUUAACCCCGGGUCUGCAUUCGAUACGGGCAGACUAGAGUGUGGUAGGGGAGAUCGGAAUUCCUGGUGUAGCGGUGAAAUGCGCAGAUAUCAGGAGGAACACCGGUGGCGAAGGCGGAUCUCUGGGCCAUUACUGACGCUGAGGAGCGAAAGCGUGGGGAGCGAACAGGAUUAGAUACCCUGGUAGUCCACGCCGUAAACGGUGGGA